AUUGAACGCUGGCGGCAUGCCUUACACAUGCAAGUCGAACGGUAGCGGGCCUUCGGGUGCCGACGAGUGGCGCACGGGUGAGUAAUACAUCGGAACGUGCCCGAUCGUGGGGGAUAACGAGGCGAAAGCUUUGCUAAUACCGCAUACGAUCUACGGAUGAAAGCAGGGGACCGCAAGGCCUUGCGCGGACGGAGCGGCCGAUGGCAGAUUAGGUAGUUGGUGGGAUAAAAGCUUACCAAGCCGACGAUCUGUAGCUGGUCUGAGAGGAUGAUCAGCCACACUGGGACUGAGACACGGCCCAGACUCCUACGGGAGGCAGCAGUGGGGAAUUUUGGACAAUGGGCGCAAGCCUGAUCCAGCCAUGCCGCGUGCAGGAUGAAGGCCUUCGGGUUGUAAACUGCUUUUGUACGGAACGAAAAGCCUUCUUUUAAUACAGGAGGGUCAUUACGGUACCGUAAGAAUAAGCACCGGCUAACUACGUG
rnacentral:rRNA from 1 species